CAAGGAGUUGCAGCCCAACAGUUGGAAUAUAGAAAUAUAUUGAAGUUUCCAAUAUUGGAUACACUAUAAUUUUUUGUUGCAAGUUGGGAAAUAAAUUGUUCUUAAAACGCACAUGUGAAAUGAUUGACUUCUUUCUUUCUUUUUUGCUAAGCUAUAGGCUUCUUUACACGUCAAAUAAAUAACAUGAAUGCUCUCUCUCUCCCCCCUUCCUUUUGUGGGCGAUAAUUGCAAAUCGGAUACCCUUUUUGCUUUCAUCUUUUGAUCUAUCCUGUAGAAUUUGAUUUUCGGUCUGGUCUCAAGGGUUUUUUUUUGGUUUGUUUCCUUACUUUUUGUAUUUUCAAAUCCUUGGUUGUUGGCUGACAUCUUGAUUUGGUUUUGGAUCUCUUUUGAGAUAUGUAUUUAGCUGCUAUGGACACUCGCAGGAGAGGUAGGCUCAGGCGUCAUCAAUGCUAAUUGCAGCUUGAAGACGUCCAAGCAAGAAAUGGACUGCUUGUCAACUAGUAUAGGAAGCAAAUCGAAGCGAUGCAAGGAGCAGAAAAUACAUAUAUAUAGUUGCAGUUUGUACCAAAAAACACAUUGAUUUGAUUGAGAACGUGAGCUCCAAAAAGUUUGAUUCAGGACAAGAGAGAAUUGUUGCAAAAUUUAAUUCUAUAUAUUUCAACAAAGGCUCUUCAGAAGUAGCAUAUCUUGUUGUUGGCUCCCUGUUAGAGAACUGUUGGAAUUCAUCGUUAUGUUAUUCUCUUCUUCAAACAGCAAUGCUAAUGUGGAUUGUUGAAGGGACCCUCAUUGUUGGAUAACUUAAGCACCUAAGCAUUUGCAAGCGCUCACAACCUGAGAGAAGUUGUAGCUACAGUUUAUUUUAACACAUGGAAGGAAGCAACAAUGUGUAAGCACUCAGAGCAGGGAACUAGUAGUAUAUAGGAGUGUGUUUCUGCCCAAAAAGGUAAAUACAAACUUUCUUUUUGUACUUUGCUGUGAUAAUCGAUUUGAUUUCAAUGCAGUGAAAAUUAAGUUGAAGUUGGUUGUUUUAUUUGGAAAUUAGCACUUUCUGAUUAUUACCUUACCUAAUGAAUUUACUAAUCUAACACAAAAAAAAAAAAAAAGAAUUUACUAAACAGAGCUCUAAAUACUAAUAGGAGGAACUGCAAUUGUUGGGUGGGAAAUUUGCAGCAAUAUAUUGAUUAGGAUGACAAGUUGCUUGUGGACAAAGCUCUAAAUGUUAUGAUAGUUGAUUUAAUGGAACACUGCAAUGAAACUUAUAUUGAGGUUAGUUGUUUAAUUAGCUUUGAUUUUACUUUCAAGCUUUUGGUAAUUGAAAUUAGCAGAUAAUCAUUAGUCUUGACUGAUGAAUUUACUAAACAAAGCUCUAAAUACUAAUAGAAGGAAUUGUAAUUGUUGGGUUGGAAAUUUGAUAUAAGAUUGCAAAUAAGGUAACCUGUUACUUGUUGCCUCUUGUCUGUCUAUAUUUUUAGAUGCACCAUUAUUUCUUUCCUUGUAGUAUGCUACAUAAAGCAGAAAGGAAUAGUCCUACAAACACAGACCCUGAUACUACCACUACACACCAAAAAUAUAAAAUGAUUUUAAUUUUAUCUUUCAAGUAUUUUAGUUUUAAGCCUGUGAAGUUGUUCUUCAAGUUAAUUGUCAUAGUUGCUUUGAUUUUACUUAUGCUAUUUGUUAUUGACAUUAACACUUAACUUUGCCAUGACCCUUGACCUACUAAUACAAUGUAAUUACAGGAGAAAUUGCAAUUAAUGGUUGAUGUAAUUUGCAAUAACUUGUGGAUUGGAUAACAAGUGCUUCAUGCUGCUCAGCAUGAUGGACUUUUAUUUCAGUGGAAAGAGAAGAAACAAGCUGAGAGAGGGUACUAAUGGUGUUAGAAUCACUACUUGUGCACAGGUUUGAUGUUUUCAGCUAGAGAUUUUGUGCAACCCUUUGCUUUGAAUGAUAAAGAAGGAAAGUUGAGGGUAAAAGACUUUUUGGUCACUUAUGAUGCCGAGGAUAUUUUGUUGGCAGAAUUAAAUGUACUUGGCUUAACAAUUUUGAAUGUGCAGUGCAACAUGUUGUGAAUAUAAUUUUGAAAUUUGGAUUCUUAUUAUCGGAGGGGGUAUGACACCACUAGAGUAGUAGGUUAAAGGCCUUUGUCCCUAUGGUUGACCUAAGCAAGGUUGGAUAAUAACCAAACAAAUGUCAGAUCUUUAUUGUUGUCCACGGUGACUUUCUAAGUUAGGCACAAACAUGAAAGUAUUGAAGCUUGAAACGACAAGUUCCUCAUCUCUGUUUCUCAUAGUUGGCAAAAGUCAUUAAGCUCUGUUUUAGUUUUCUUAUUUAUUCUUUUAGGUCCUUUGUUGUCGGCAACAUGUACUAUCACAUUUCCUUUUGUAAUAUAAUGAUUUGCAUUUCAGUUAUCCUUGUCAUCUUACUUUUAUUUAUUAAUCCGAAAACAGUUGUUUUAUUGUUUUACCUUUUUUGUUCUAUUAUAUUUUGUUUUCAAAAGAUUUGCUUUACAUGGAACAAAAUGGGAAAUUAGGAGUAAGAAAUGUUAAAAUAUAUUGAAGUGGCAAUUUUGCCCGAGCUACAACUUCUGUGAUUAGCAGGAAAAUAAAUUGUUCCUAAAUUCAUCUUACGAAAUGAUAGGCUUCUUUCUUUCAUUUUCUUUUUGUCUUUUUUGCUGAACUACAGGAAUUUUUUUGGUCGAAUAAAUAUGAUUCAUUCUAUUAUGUCAUGAAAAAGGUUAUAUUACAAUGGUGUGAGAAAAUGCCUUUUGUCACUCUUUUCCUUUCACGACAAAUGCUUUAUGUUGUGUAUCUUAGAAUGGGAAAGCAAUAAUGGAUGUGACAUGGUAGUUGAUAUUUGUGGUUUGUACUCAUAGCUUUGUUUAACCCAUUUGUUGCUUACGUAUUUGUCAGCCAUGUUGUGAAGAGGGUUGCUCUCAUCAUUACUUUGAUUCAUGCUAUUAUGUCAUGAAAAAGGUUAUAUUACAUGAUUGCGUAUUCGUAAUCAAUGGUUCUAAUAUCAAGCCUUGUGUAGCUGCAAAUCCUCUUGGCGUUACAAUCAGCGGUCACCAUCCUGAAACUUUUCACCUUGGCUUGCUUGCACUUCUUUUUUUUUUUCUGUUGAGUAUUCUUACACUUCUUUUAUUGUCAUGAUUUUACCUUUCUUUUCUCUAUUAUUUGUUUUAGAUUCUUACAAUGCGGUCUCUGCCUCUUGUAGGAUCAAUGAAUGUUGUUUUUUACAAAUUUAUUGACUUAUUUAGACAUUAAUGAAGCUUGAUGUAUCAAAUCCAAGUGAAGCUUUAAUGCAUGAGUGGAUUCGUUGGUCAAUGUUUCCUCUCUUUAUUUUGGUUGCAUUAUCUACUAUUUUUCUUCUUUCAUGCUAUAAUGGAAAACAUCUCCUUUUGUUUUCAGCCAUCAGGAUUGCCAUCAACAUUCCAAGUGAUCAAGAUCCCAUAUAGGUUGCACGAAACAUUGCCCUCACGUAAAGCGGCAAGACCCGUGUUCGAUCCUUGGCUGUGGGGACUCCCUGAUUUACCUUCUCUACCAUUCCCUUGGAGCUGGGUGGUAUGGGGCGUUCGCGAGGGGACAUCAUCCCAAGAUCCCAUAUAGGGAAAGGAGUUGUUGUAUAUGCCUAGCAGUUGGUUACUUCACUUUUCUGUUCAAACAUCAGUCAAUGGGGAUGUGAUUUUGCUAUCUAAUCUGUGUUGUUUUUAGUCUUAAUUAGCCACCGCUUAUUAUUGUUGUGAGUGUUGUUUGGUCCAAGGUUGCUUUGUCAUGGCUGCUGGCUGUUGUGUUGUAAUGCUUCUAUCUUGUCCUAAUACAAGUGUUUUUCUUUGGCAGUGCUCUCAUGCCUCUCUACAUUUAAGUAAA